UUGACCUCAAAUCAGGUAGGACUACCCGCUGAACUUAAGCAUAUCAAUAAGCGGAGGAAAAGAAACUAACAAGGAUUCCCCUAGUAACUGCGAGUGAAGCGGGAAAAGCUCAAAUUUAAAAUCUGGUAGUCUUCGGCUGCCCGAGUUGUAAUCUAGAGAAGCAUUAUCUGCGCUGGACCGUGUACAAGUGUCCUGGAAUGGACCAUCAUAGAGGGUGAGAAUCCCGUCUUUGACACGGACUCCCAGGGCUUUGUGAUGUGCUCUCAAAGAGUCGAGUUGUUUGGGAAUGCAGCUCUAAAUGGGUGGUAAAUUCCAUCUAAAGCUAAAUAUUGGCGAGAGACCGAUAGCGAACAAGUACCGUGAGGGAAAGAUGAAAAGAACUUUGGAAAGAGAGUUAAACAGUACGUGAAAUUGCUGAAAGGGAAACGCUUGAAGUCAGUCGCGUUGGCUGGGGAUCAACCUUGCUUUUUUGCUUGGCUUACUUCCCAGUUGACGGGUCAGCAUCAGUUUUGACCGGUGGAUAAAGGCUAGGGGAAUGUGGCACCCUCGGGUGUGUUAUAGCCCUUGGUCAUAUGCAUUGGUUGGGACUGAGGAACUCAGCACUUGUGCUUAGGAUGCUGGCAUAAUGGCUUUAAGCGACCCGUCUUGAAACACGGACCAAGGAGUCUAACAUGCCCGCGAGUGUUUGGGUGGUAAACCCGAGCGCGUAAUGA
rnacentral:rRNA from 1 species